CAGUUGUGCUGAGUUGAGAGCAGCCCGGAAGGCAGGCAAUGAGCAGAAGGGAGCUGGGAUGGAUGAAUGCCAUCAGAACUUCCUGCAUCUCCACUAGAAGGCUGUGCCAGCUGGGGCUCCGGGUGGAAUGUGCAGAGCAGGGCACAAAGCCUCGGUGCUGUCAGACCAGGUGGCACAAAUCUGCACAGCAUGCUCAGCAUUAUAAGAAGAUCAACGAUAAAUUGCUGAAGAUGCACAUAAGAUGCUAGUAUGAAAUCAGAAAGAAUCCAGAGAGAUCCCAGUGGACUGGAAGUUGGGUGACACUAACCUGACUUUCAAGAAGGGCAAGAGGGAGGACCCUGGAAGUUACAGGCCUGUCAGUCUCAUUUCAGUGCCAGGUAAAAUCAUGGAAAAAACUAUUCUGGAAGAUACUGAAAAACACCUGGAGGACAAUGCAGCCAUCAGUCCCAGCCAGCACAGCUGCUUGAGAGGGAAGUCCUGCUGUCAAAUCUCAUUUCUAUUUCAGCUUCCUUCUGGGAAUGAAGAUGACACAUUAAACAGAUCCUGCUCAUCUGAAAGUCUGAGUCCAAUUCUCUGUUAGAAUGAACUCCAUUUAUACUUUUGAUGAUUUGCCAGUUCCCAAAAAGUGUUGAGCAACACCUGCUUGAUUACAAUCUGUCUGCACUGCUCUUUUGAUACUCCAUGAGAUGCAACACAAGUGUGUGCUUUUGCAUUACGUCAGUUAGGUUAAUUCUUCCAAUUAUACCUUUAAGUAAUUAUAAGAUUUUCUUUCAUAAUAUUCCUGAGAUUGAUGGGAUUAUCAGGCUUUUUCCCCAUAAAACCUGAAAACAAUGGAAAAACCCCACAUAUUUAAGGACACAAAUACAAACCUAAUCUACACACAGCAGAAACCUAACAGGUUUCUUAUGGUGUGCAUCAGUCAAGACUUUGUAUUACUGUCCCUUCCUCUUUUGCCUUCUAGAUUUAUAAUAUGCCCUUUCUUUACAUACCAAACCCAAUAAUGCACUUACUAUACCCUAAAAGUAUAAAUUCAACAGAAUUCCAGAAUUAAAAACAAACAUCUGGAAAACCUUACAACAAAUCUUCAAUAUCUCAUCUCUGAUACUUCCUCAAAAUUUCCAGAUGCAGUGAAACACAACGGUGAUAAUUUCUGGCACCACCUGGAAGCCCCCACCUCAGGUCCAUCAGCUGGAGUUAUAACCUCUUACUUUACAGUAGUUGUCUAAUUGAGGAAAGUAUUCUUCCCUUAAUGCAUUUCUUUCUGCCUCUGAUCCUAGCACAAAUAAGCAUAGUGAGAUCAGAUUGUUGUAACUUGAAAUCAUUGCAGUUUUGAUUAUUUUGCUAUGUUUGAUGGCAGAAGCUUUGAAUGAGUCAGAGGAUAAACAUUUCUUAAAUAAGACACAUAUUCUUACAGAUAUUCUUAAUCUUUGUACAUUGAUACCCAAUGUGAUAUGAUGUUAUGAGGCACCUCACCAAGACUGCAUUUAUACUCACAUGCACAGUAAAUCACAUUUUAACCAUUCUGCUUACAAGACACAGUCUGAAAUACUGAUGAGCUGGAUUUACAUUUGCAAAAUGUACAUCUAAACCCAAAUUUUGUGCACUCCCCUUCCUUCCAGCAGAAAAAAUUCUGAGCUUACAACACUCAAAAUAUUAAAGUAUUCAGAAUCUUGCAGAAAAGAGGAAGCGAGGCUUUAGGGUUGUCUCCACUUCUUCACAUAACAGAAAUUGCAUUUGCUUGAUAUACAAGAAUCCCACAGCUUCAAAUCAAAAUUUCUAGAUUUGCUCCUGUGCAUAAACUUUUUCUGGUGACAUUUUUUCCUCCCAUCAAGGGUUUACUAUUAAUACUUUAAAUAAUACUUUAUCAUCUUCUAAAAUACCUUAAGAGAUAUGUUAACAUACAGAGAAACAACAUAUGUUUAUCAACUGUAAUUUUUAGAAGACUAACCAACCAUGUUCUUAAGGCUCCAAAUUUGAGAUCCUUCCUCCUUCUUCCACUCUUCACUUCUACUGUCAUCUUUUCUCCCUAAACAGAUAUCCAAAGAAGUUGAGUAUUUCCUUUUCAUAUUUAGCAUAUGUCUCCUCAUAGAAUAUCUUUCCCAUUUCCUGAUCUUGCAAGACAAUGACCUGCCUUGCCUCCUCUGUGUUCAUCAGUAGAGCAUCUAAGAGCAGAGCUUGUGUCUGUGAAACAAAGAUUAUUGCGAUGAUCACAAAGAGAUUCUGCCCAAUUUUUACCAGUUAGAGUUUGUAGCAGAGGUCUCAAGUGCAUACAUGUAAAACAAGAGAAAAUAAACCAGGAGUGACACAUUGUAGCUUGUGCAUUAUAUUAUAUGCAACAUGACACACAUUAUGUUAACUCAUUCCAGGUGUGAGGCAUAAACACCACUCAGUAGUUUCUAUCUUCUUCCUCCCCCACCCAAUACACCUUUUCUGUAUAAAAGCUACAAUUAUUCAUAAGCAUUUAUAAGUCACAAAUCCACCACAUGAAGACAGACUCUGAAGCAGACUAAACCGCUCUGAUCCAGUCAGUUUUAUUUAAGUGAAUUAUUUGCCUCAUUACCUGGCCAUCCUGUUCAAAGGUCUGCAUUGUUCCAGGGACAGGCCUGUUACUUUACUUGCUUUCACUAAGUGAAAACUUUUUUCUCUUUUCAGCCUUAGGAGAGUACUAAAAUUCAGUUUUUGUAUUGCUUUUCUACUAACAGAGCACUAGGAAGAAAAGCACUAACCAUCUGUUUGGACUCUACUGGGGAAAAAAACCAACCCACAAACAAACCCAAAAAACAUGUAGUCACAGAAAGAAAAUCUUCCUAUGAAUUCUUUUUUAUAUAAACAUCACAUACCCAGCUUUAAUUUUGACACAUCCUUACUUCUGAGUAGGAUUAUUUCCUUUCCUUUAGCACCAUUUUAAUUUUGGAAAUAAAUGUCUAUAUGACAUCCUGUACUUUUAUCAGCUAAAGACAUAUGGCAUGAGGAGGGGAAAGGAAAAUCAUAAUUAUGCAAUAUACCAGUUAACUAAAACCUGGUAAUACUCUAGCGCUUAUCUUCACAAAAAAAAAAUAUCAUUUUUCUGAUAAUGCUGGGCAAAAUUAGUUAACUGUCUACAGAAGCUGUCUACUUUUGAUCGAUGGGCUCUGCCCUGAGCUAUUACAAGAUCUGUGUCUUCAAGGUCAAUUGAAGCAUCAUUUUCACUGCAGGUAGAGAUCAAAUGGUUCUCUACAGUGGAACAGCAGCUCUUCACAUAGCAAUGCUUUGUUCACAUUUGUUUUACCUGCAGGAAAUCAUAGAAUGAAUUACUGACAGAGAUACUUGACUUAAAGUUCUGCUCUGAAGAGCAAAUUCAGUCAAGGUUGUGUUUAUUGUCUUUCAAUGACAUUAUAGCAGAUGAUUGUUUGAGAAAAAGAUUUAUUGCUUUCUUCCUUCUAUAUCACUUCUUGAAGGGUAUCUUCCAAACUCAGACUAGGCUAAUUUCCUUUUCUGACCAUCAGCAGUAAUGGAGACACUGCAGAGGCAGCUCUGCCCUCAGGGACACCCACACACCCUCACUCCUCUCCAGUGGGGCUCUGGAGUUACAGCCUGGCUUUCCCUCACUGCUAUGCCCCAUCUCGCAACAUAUACAACUUGUGGCAGCUAACCACAAUAGGAGUUUUCAAAUUUCUGCUCUAUUUCUAACAUGAAUACUUCAAACACAACAUCUGUAGGAACCACAGGCAAGAAUGCUCAGACACAGUAGCAGGGGACAGCUAUGUAACAUGUUCAGUCUGACACAGGACACCAGGGCUGGAUGUAGAUAUUCAUGUCUUGUGUAACUAAGACAUUUGGAGUCACUCUUCACCUUGCUCUGAAUGAAGGAGAGAGAGGACAAAUAGUUAAUGAUUUUCCAGUGCCUAGUCAAUACGUUUCAAGUUAUUUCUGAGAGCACACCAGGCUUUCAGAGGCUGCUUACAUGGCCUCAGAAAGAGAAUAACAGGAAACAUAACAGGCAAACACAAAUUCUUCUCACAGCCACAAAACAGACCCAUUCUGAGAUGAAGCCAAAUCCAUUUUGGUGAAGGAAACCAGAGCAAUGAAAAGAAAAUCUACAAUCCUCUUGUCCUUUACCAUACCCCAAGCUCAUGCUAGAAUUUAGCUUUUGUUUUGUUGUAUUGUCCUGCAGCAAUGAAAAUUGAUCCCCGAUGCUCUUCUAGUUUUUCAUAUGAGGAUGUUUUCCCCCAUCCACUUCCUCCUCCAGUCCACCCAGAAUUCUCACACUUCUGGUAUUUUCUCUGUUCAAUGAGCAUCUCCUCCCCAUUUUGUUCUGCUGUUAACUGCAAGAGCUUAGGGUGUCGUACUGUUGGAAGAAACAAUUUCCAAAGGGAAAAUAUUUCUAGUUCAGACCAGUUCAAGGAUUUUCACAGCACAAAUUUCACAGUAUAACCCAAAAUCAUUUGUAUUGCCUCAGAUGAGAGGAGGAUAACAUCCUUAUAUUUGCACUUUUGUCACAGGUCCUCUGUGAGGAAAUGCUGGCUUUUUUCCUACUGGUCUUUACUCACCAAAAUGUAAUUGCUCAUCAGUUGGGCACUCUUUAUCUGUGCACCCCACACACAACCAGUCAAGCAGUACUGCAGAAAUUAUCAGCCUUGAUUUCAGAGUAUCUGUGUCAGGCUGACCAAGGCGGUGAGCAGGAUCUGCCAGGCACACACUGCUGACUAAUCACAGCUGUCAUCUCUAUUCAACAUACUAAAGGCAGUCUGCAUUACUCCCUGGAAUUUGAUAUGUUAGAGAGCAAUGGGGCAUCUUUGGUCAUGGUACCCACAGCAAUUAUGGAUAUUUGCUACCUUUAAUUUACUGUUACUGGUACUGGCAGUUGUCUUCUCAGGCCAAACAAAGCUCUACUGCAAAACUCAUGGAUUUAAAUAAGUGGUGUAGCCAUACAAUCGAGACACUCUCAUCCUACUGAGUAAUCACUGAUUUUCCACUGCCACUAGGUCUUUGUAAAAAAAUAAAGAAGGUGACAGGAGAUUUUUCAAGUGUUUAGAAUUCCUUCAGGAGUCUUGAUCUUAUUUACAAUUGUGCCUUAACCAGAUAAUCAUUAGAUUUUUCCUUACCCUCAUUUAUCACUGCUCAGGCCUCUCCAUAACAUCGAAUAUCCAGAUUCUUUAAAUGAUCCUGUUCCAGCCAUCACAUCAUAUCAGAAAAUGGUUUGAAUGACACAAAUUACCUUUCACAAUUUACACAGAAGCAAAAAAUGAGUAUAAAAAUUUCCAACACAAAAUAUUUCCUGUGAAACUAGACUUCAAAGUAAACACAUUUACUAAUAGAACCAAAGAAGACUCUCAGGUAUCUUCAUGACAGCAUGUGAUUUACAGGCAAACUAGGAGCUGAAAAAGCAUGCAUUUCACAAGGUUACCAGGUUACACACAGUAACUAUAACCAUAGAAGGCAAGAGAUGUGGUUCUUAUUUGUUCUUCCCCCACCCUCUCAUAACUAAUCUAUUCAGAUAAACUGUCAGAGCAACUUGAUUUUUACACCAAGGAUAUCAGCAAAAACAUGUCAAUUCCCCUUGGGGAACUCAUGAGUAGAGUCCUGCCUGUCCUGGUGCUGGCAGAGACUAAAACUAAACGUCCUUCCCUGCAACAGCUUCACUGUGUACUGCCAGAGCAACUUCUCCUGGCACUGGCACUCUGAGCUGGGUGCUCCUGCUCAGACUGCAGCCAUGAACCCCCAGUUCAUGUCACAGGCAAGGCUGCAUCGGUCAGAAAAAGUCUUCCCUUUUCUACUUUACAACAUUUUACUGCAUGAGAGUAGAGCUCAAAAAGAAACCAGCCUUUUUGAAAUGAUGGAUGCUGUACACAGUGGAGCACAUUCUUCCAAAGGGACACUGGACUUGCUCUGUGUGUACUGAAUGCAAUGGAUACUGUCCUGUGCUCCUGGUAAGUGACUGAUCCUCCUAUCAACAACAAACACAGCCAACCUGAAGAUCAUGUAAAAAUAUAACACAAGAGGGGAGAGAGAAUUCUCCCAGCAAUUUUUUGAAAAUAAUCCUUUCUUUGUAACAGAGUCCUUUCAAUUUCAAAUUUGCAAAUUGAAAAGUGCAGUAGGCAAUACAGAAUUUAAAACAAUAAACAAAUACCACAGCAGAUAAAUAGGCAUUUAUUAAAGUUCAUCUCAAAACAAACAAAAAUAAUAAAAGACAUUAAGGCAUCUUGUAUUCAAUGACAGUUCAUACAGUAAAAAUGACUUCUCCUUCUUAUACAAGAGAGCAGAUUAGGGAAAAAAAAAAGAAAAGAGCUCUCACAAAGAACUUCUCCCAAACUGUUUGAUGGAUUACUGAUUACCAGUUAGUCAGGAAAUCCCUCCAAAGAAUGCCUAUUUCUCCAAUGAAGCAGUUACAAAAUCCCAACACUCACUGAGACACGUGCAAGAAAGCACUUUUGUCCCUCCUCAGACAUCCCACUGUCUGUAAACAUGCACACUGGAGAAAGACCAACAGAUGGAUAUUGUGCACAAUAAAGAAGCUGCAUUCCUGCUUCAACCAUUCAUUUUUGAGCAGACUAGAAUAUUUGGCCUUGCUUUCACUAGUAUUUACUAUUUCAGCCAGUUACUAGUGAAAAUGAGACCACAAGCUCUAGCCUGUUC